rnacentral:rRNA from 1 species
UACAGAGGUCUCAAGCGUUGUUCGGAUUCAUUGGGCGUAAAGGGCGCGUAGGCGGCGGGGUAAGUCGGGUGUGAAAUCUCAGAGCUCAACUCUGAAAACUGCACUCGAUACUGCUCUGCUUGAGGACUGGAGAGGAGACUGGAAUUCACGGUGUAGCAGUGAAAUGCGUAGAUAUCGUGAGGAAGACCAGUGGCGAAGGCGGGUCUCUGGACAGUUCCUGACGCUGAGGCGCGAAGGCGUGG